rnacentral:rRNA from 1 species
GAGAAAGUAAGCAAGGGCAGACGGUGGAUGCCUUGGCUCUCGGAGGCGACGAAGGACGUGAUAAGCUGCGAAAAGCCCGGGGGAGGCGCAAAUAGCCCUUGAUCCCGGGAUAUCCGAAUGGGGCAACCCGGCAGGCUGAAGGCCUGCCAUCCCGUAAGGGAGGCGAACGUGGGGAACUGAAACAUCUAAGUACCCAUAGGAGGAGAAAAUAAACAAUGAUUCCGUAAGUAGUGGCGAGCGAACACGGAAGAGCCCAAACCCAUGUCGUCUAGGCGACACGGGGGUUGUAGGACCACGACGUGGCAAGAAGGAAGGGAAAUGGAACGACUUGGAAAAGUCGGCCAUAGACGGUGAAAGCCCGGUA